rnacentral:lncRNA from 1 species
ACUAUAAAUAAAUUUCUUCCGAACUUCUAUUACAAGUAGACUUCAGCCGAGCUACUCCAUAGCGAGUGGAUUCUGGACGAACUACUACGACGAGACACCACUUCGAGCUUCCACGAUAACUGGUCCUCGCCCGAGCUCCUACAAUGGAUGGUCCCCUCUCGACCUCUCGCGAGAACAGGAUCCUGUCCAAACUUCUCCAGCGGAUGGAUUCUGGACGAGCUUCUAUAACGGACGAGCUCCGGCAGUUGGGUCCCUACGAUAGCCGAUCGCCUCCGAUGUCUGCCGAGCCUCCCCAGCGCUAUCCGAAGUCCAUCACCGACCGACCUCCUACCAAGCCCCCC